rnacentral:rRNA from 13 species
UGCCAGCAGCCGCGGUAAUACGGAGGGUGCAAGCGUUAUCCGGAUUCACUGGGUUUAAAGGGUACGUAGGCGGGCUUAUAAGUCAGUGGUGAAAUCCUUCCGCUCAACGGAAGAACUGCCAUUGAAACUGUAAGUCUUGAGUAUGAUUGAGGUAAGCGGAAUGUAGCAUGUAGCGGUGAAAUGCAUAGAUAUGCUACAGAACACCAAUAGCGAAGGCAGCUUACCAAGUCAUUACUGACGCUGAGGUACGAAAGCGUGGGUAGCGAACAGGAUUAGAUACCCUGGUAGUCCACGCCGUAAACGAUGUCAACUAGCCGUUGGGACUCUUGAAGUCUUAGUGGCGCAGCUAACGCACUAAGUUGACCGCCUGGGGAGUACGGCCGCAAGGUUAAAACUCAAAUGAAUUGACGGGGGCCCGCACAAGCGGUGGAGCAUGUGGUUUAAUUCGA